rnacentral:rRNA from 1 species
UGGGGAAUAUUGCACAAUGGGCGCAAGCCUGAUGCAGCAACGCCGCGUGAGGGAUGACGGCCUUCGGGUUGUAAACCUCUUUUAGCAGGGAAGAAGCGAAAGUGACGGUACCUGCAGAAAAAGCACCGGCUAACUACGUGCCAGCAGCCGCGGUAAUACGUAGGGUGCAAGCGUUGUCCGGAAUUAUUGGGCGUAAAGAGCUCGUAGGCGGUCUGUCGCGUCUGCUGUGAAAUCCCGAGGCUCAACCUCGGGCCUGCAGUGGGUACGGGCAGACUAGAGUUCGGUAGGGGAGAAUGGAACUCCUGGUGUAGCGGUGGAAUGCGCAGAUAUCAGGAAGAACACCGAUGGCGAAGGCAGUUCUCUGGGCCGUAACUGACGCUGAGGAGCGAAAGCGUGGGGAGCGAACAGGAUUAGAUACCCUGGUAGUCCACGCCGUAAACGUUGGGCGCUAGAUGUGGGGACCAUUCCACGGUUUCCGUGUCGCAGCUAACGCAUUAAGCGCCCCGCCUGGGGAGUACGGCCGCAAGGCUAAAACUCAAAUGAAUUGACGGGGUCAUAGCAGUUUCCU